rnacentral:rRNA from 1 species
UGGGGAAUAUUGGACACUGGGCGAAAGCCUGAUCCAGCCAUGCCGCGUGUGUGAAGAAGGUCUUCGGAUUGUAAAGCACUUUAAGUUGGGAGGAAGGGCAGUAAGCGAAUACCUUGCUGUUUUGACGUUACCGACAGAAUAAGCACCGGCUAACUCUGUGCCAGCAGCCGCGGUAAUACAGAGGGUGCGAGCGUUAAUCGGAUUUACUGGGCGUAAAGCGUGCGUAGGCGGCUAAUUGAGUCGGAUGUGAAAUCCACGAGCUUAACUUGGGAAGUGCAUUCGAUACUGGUUAGCUAGAGUGUGGGAGAGGAUGGUAGAAUUCCAGGUGUAGCGGUGAAAUGCGUAGAGAUCUGGAGGAAUACCGAUGGCGAAGGCAGCCAUCUGGCCUAACACUGACGCUGAGGUACGAAAGCAUGGGGAGCAAACAGG